rnacentral:rRNA from 1 species
AUUGAACGCUGGCGGCAGGCCUAACACAUGCAAGUCGAACGGUAACAGGAAGAAGCUUGCUUCUUUGCUGACGAGUGGCGGACGGGUGAGUAAUGUCUGGGAAACUGCCUGAUGGAGGGGGAUAACUACUGGAAACGGUAGCUAAUACCGCAUAACGUCGCAAAACCAAAGAGGGGGACCUUCGGGCCUCUUGCCAUCGGAUGUGCCCAGAUGGGAUUAGCUAGUAGGUGGGGUAACGGCUCACCUAGGCGACGAUCCCUAGCUGGUCUGAGAGGAUGACCAGCCACACUGGAACUGAGACACGGUCCAGACUCCUACGGGAGGCAGCAGUGGGGAAUAUUGCACAAUGGGCGCAAGCCUGAUGCAGCCAUGCCGCGUGUAUGAAGAAGGCCUUCGGGUUGUAAAGUACUUUCAGCGGGGAGGAAGGGAGUAAAGUUAAUACCUUUGCUCAUUGACGUUACCCGCAGAAGAAGCACCGGCUAACUCCGUGCCAGCAGCCGCGGUAAUACGGAGGGUGCAAGCGUUAAUCGGAAUUACUGGGCGUAAAGCGCACGCAGGCGGUUUGUUAAGUCAGAUGUGAAAUCCCCGGGCUCAACCUGGGAACUGCAUCUGAUACUGGCAAGCUUGAGUCUCGUAGAGGGGGGUAGAAUUCCAGGUGUAGCGGUGAAAUGCGUAGAGAUCUGGAGGAAUACCGGUGGCGAAGGCGGCCCCCUGGACGAAGACUGACGCUCAGGUGCGAAAGCGUGGGGAGCAAACAGG